UGCACCGAGAUUCAACAUGGAACGAGUGGCGGACGGGUGAGUAACACGUGGGUAACCUGCCCUUAAGUGGGGGAUAACAUUUGGAAACAGAUGCUAAUACCGCAUAGAUCCAAGAACCGCAKGGUUCUUGGCUGAAAGAUGGCGUAAGCUAUCGCUUUUGGAUGGACCCGCGGCGUAUUAGCUAGUUGGUGAGGUAAUGGCUCACCAAGGCGAUGAUACGUAGCCRAACUGAGAGGUUGAUCGGMCACAUUGGGACUGAGACACGGCCCAAACUCCUACGGGAGGCAGCAGUAGGGAAUCUUCCACAAUGGACGCAAGUCUGAUGGAGCAACGCCGCGUGAGUGAAGAAGGCUUUCGGGUCGUAAAACUCUGUUGUUGGAGAAGAAUGGUCGGCAGAGUAACUGUUGUCGGCGUGACGGUAUCCAACCAGAAAGCCACGGCUAACUACGUGCCAGCAGCCGCGGUAAUACGUAGGUGGCAAGCGUUAUCCGGAUUUAUUGGGCGUAAAGCGAGCGCAGGCGGUUUUUUAAGUCUGAUGUGAAAGCCCUCGGCUUAACCGAGGAAGCGCAUCGGAAACUGGGAAACUUGAGUGCAGAAGAGGACAGUGGAACUCCAUGUGUAGCGGUGAAAUGCGUAGAUAUAUGGAAGAACACCAGUGGCGAAGGCGGCUGUCUGGUCUGUAACUGACGCUGAGGCUCGAAAGCAUGGGUAGCGAACAGGAUUAGAUACCCUGGUAGUCCAUGCCGUAAACGAUGAAUGCUAGGUGUUGGAGGGUUUCCGCCCUUCAGUGCCGCAGCUAACGCAUUAAGCAUUCCGCCUGGGGAGUACGACCGCAAGGUUGAAACUCAAAGGAAUUGACGGGGGCCCGCACAAGCGGUGGAGCAUGUGGUUUAAUUCGAAGCAACGCGAAGAACCUUACCAGGUCUUGACAUCUUUUGAUCACCUGAGAGAUCAGGUUUCCCCUUCGGGGGCAAAAUGACAGGUGGUGCAUGGUUGUCGUCAGCUCGUGUCGUGAGAUGUUGGGUUAAGUCCCGCAACGAGCGCAACCCUUAUGACUAGUUGCCAGCAUUUAGUUGGGCA
rnacentral:rRNA from 1 species